CAGGUGUCCGUCAAGCCAAGAAACACCAAGUGAAGCACCAAAGAGUCAGAGGUUGACUCCUGCCCCCGCCUCAACCCUUGGACUGGCACCCUCUACAUCCCAGCCCCAAGCUUCCCGGAGAACCUGAGUCGCCUGUUCUUUGGAUGCCCUGAAGGAAAAGAGACUGGCUACAACAAAAGACAUUGAAAACUUGCCAUGUUUUGCAGAUGAGCCCCUGAAGCUGCAGUAGUGACUCUCGGCCCAUUUGGGAGAAAUAUGCUGAGAGAGACAAUGUGACUGACUACCUGACGAAUCUCUUUCCUUGAGCACCAAGAAAUCAUCACAGCUUCAAGCAGUUAUCAUACUAUCAGGACCAGAGACAGAGAGAGAGAGACUAUCACUACAAGCAAAAAACAAAUACUGGAAUGAAGAUCCCUGGAGAGCUGCAGCUGAAGGAAACUCUUGGCUACUUCGACAUAAGAGGCAAACCAUCAAUGGGAAAAUGAGCAGGAUACUCUGUGGACUUUCUUUUUGUCCUUGUGGAUUAUUUCCAAGUUAUGGGAUCUUUAAUUCUCAAAUGAGUGGGAGAGUUGUUUGAGUAAAGAGUUCAGGAUCAGGCUGUAGCUUAUUAAAUAAAAAAGUUAGACAAUCAAGUUGUCUAGUGUUGGAAUUACAGUAAACUGGCAACAUGUUAAAUGUUUUCUUCUCUUUAUGAGAGUGAAGGAAAUGAGAUUCUGAGAAGUAUUUGAGUGGGCAACCCAAUUAGCAUGGUUUUUCCUGUUCUUGAUAGUGAUCAAAUUUCCCCCUACCUCCACACACACGCACACACACACACACACACUUGUGUCAAAAAUAGAACAGAAAAUAAGGAAUUAACUGAGAUGUGGGACAAAUAAUAAGAAAAGGAAAAACCUUGAUUAUGCUUUCUGCCUACUAUGUCCAUGGCAUUCAAUAAAAAAAAACAAAGCUCUCAAUUUUGGGGGGGGGGGAGAAAUCAAAGGAAAACUGGGGACAAAACCACUGAUAGAAGCAUAAAGACAGCUUUUGAACAACCCACCCUCUGCCACAGUCAUGUUAGGAAUUCAAGACUGGAAAUUCACUUUACUCCGGAAAACCGUUAAUGGUGACCCAGAGAAAAAUGUUUCAAAGGUCACUCUAAAUCUACAGCUACAGAGCCAGCUAGAUCAACCUUUACAAGAUCUUACUUGCUUAAAUAGGUUUUCUUUCUGAGAAGCUAGUUUCUGUUUCUUGCAUGCCUCCUUACAUUUGACAUGUAUUCUGUGCAUGAACAAACUAACCUCUAUUAUAAAUAUUGUUGGUUUUACAUGGAUAAAUACAGUGUCACCAUUUUUACAGUAUAAAAGAUAUUCCCUUAAUGGAAAUAUUCUGCUCCUGUGUCCAUUUAAAAAAAGUUUUCAUGCCUUUCAUUAUUGUUAAUUAUCAGGGUGUUGGGUUUUUUAUAUUAAACCAUUUGUAUUGGAGUGAAUCUUUUCACUACCAAAAACUGUCCUAUAAUUGUUAAAGCAGGUUUAACAAUGCCCUCUACUGGAUUCAUAGCUGAAAUGACAAAAAAUAUCAGGUGAUCGAAUAGGGAACACAGUUAAAACCAAGCAAGAUUGAACUGAAUGGUGAGUGGAUAUUAAUUCCCUACAGAGAAGUUCAGAUUUGUGUUUUGUCCAGUCU